GCACCAUUGAACUGAUAGAUCUUUUUCUCGGCAUCUAAGAUAAACACAUCAUCAUGAUUCAGUGACGCCCGGGCAAAGGGAACCUGCUUCAUCCUGACAACACGUUUUCCCCUACAGACAUACAACCGUGUUUCAAAUACUUCUUCCUCAGGUUUCUUGAAUCCAGAUGCAACACCCCCCUCUAAUGGUAUGAUACAAGGUUUAAAGUAGGACAAAAAUUUGUCAGAUUCAUGGCCUUGUAUUUCUCUAUGCUGAACAGCACGCCCUCCAAGAACUGC
rnacentral:misc_RNA from 1 species